rnacentral:tmRNA from 1 species
GGGGGUGAUCGGUUUCGACUUGCGGCGGAUGUCUGCAGGGGAAGCGGGUCGAGGGUCCGAGGGCAGCUCGUUAACGCUCCUCGGAAAAAAUCAAGUGCCAACUCUAAUCGCACUUCCUUUGCUCUUGCCGCUUAAUCGGUAAUCAAAGCGUCAGCCCGGAUGCGCCUUCGGUCCGGUGUCUGGCGUGGUCUAGAAGGCUUGCUGCAGCGGGGGCGUCUCAUCGUCGCUGCGGGACUUUUAUGAGGCUGGGCCUGUCCAGGGACUAGUUGGCGAGCAACCUGGAGGCCGAGAAAAACGACCAGCCAACUGCACCCGGAGAAUACCUACAGGUCCUCGUAAGGACACGGGUUCAAUUCCCGUCACCUCCACGU